UUGAUUAUGAAAUAAUAGAUGAAUUCUAUAUAUAUAUAUAUAUAUAUAUAUAUAUAUAUAUAUAUAUAUAUAUAUAUAUUAAAAACUUUCAGUUAAAUAUAUCAGGGUACAUGUAUAAUGCUCAAAUAGCAAUUGCAGGCUAAUAACAUAGAUAUAUGUAUAUCAAUAGUUCAAAAGAAUUAGAGUAACAUAUAUCUUAUACAGAAAAAUAUCGAACCGAAUUUACAGAGGGAGAUUCAGAAAGAUCUUAUCAAUACUGCUUAAACAGUAUUAUUGAUAUAAUGCCUUAAAUCAAGCCAACAACUAGAGACUUCAAUUAAGCGACCUUCCAUCUCAAAAACAAAUAGAUCAAUGAAUGGCGUAUUGCCUAAAUUUAUCAUAGUUUAAAGACAAGAUACCAAAAAUAAGCUAUUUGUGUAGAUCGUUUCCGAUCUAUGUAGAUUCGAAGAACCGGUGUACCCUAAGGAGGUAUAUUCCGUAAGAGACACAAAACCCAUGGACCUUGAAUGCUCCGAUACUAGUUUUGUUGGGUAUUUGCGGUUGAUUUGUGUAUUGAAUCAAAGCACAAAACAUCACACACAAUAAAAACAAAAAGACAAACACAAGAUCACCAAGAAAUGUAGACCCAAUUCAACCAAUAGACCUAAUCUCAGGGGCUCAGGGAUAACCUAUUCCACUAGUGCAUAAUCUACCUUCCAAGAAAGCAAGAUUACAUAAAGAACCACUCGGACAAGGUUUUAGUCAUAGAUCAAACAGAUCCUGUAAAACUAGUAAACUGACCCAAAAUAAACCAACCAAAAAUAUAUGGAGUUAGUCUAUACAAGAACAACCACUCUCUCAGGCCUGAUCGUAUAUACAUGCUACAAGCUCCAUUUGGAUCAAUUGCAAAAACCUCAAAUACUAGAGAAGAAUUUUUUAGCGUAAAGACAAAAGAGAAAACCAAGGGAAGAGAGAAAAUCGAAACAUCUGGAAUGACCCAAAGUCUCUUGACCUAGACCACUAAAGAGACACUUUGGAUUCCAAGGUAAAAU
rnacentral:lncRNA from 1 species